GCCUGGGUGGCUCAGUCAGUUGGGCAUCUGACUUCAGCUCAGGUCAUGAUCUCACAGUUUGUGGGUUUGAGCCCCGCGUCGGGCU
rnacentral:tRNA from 1 species